AGAGGACUGAGGCAAGGGGAUACCAUCUCCCCCUUCCUUUUUGCCUUGGUCAUGGAGUACUUAAGUAGAUCCUGCUCCUCACUAAUGGAUGAUCCAGCCUACACAUUCCAUCCCAGAUGCAAGAAACUGGACAUCACACAUAUGUGCUUUGUUGAUGACCUACUUCUAUUUGCUAAAGGUGACCUCAACUCUGUCAAGGCAUUGUCCAAUUGCUUCACACAGUUCUCAGCAGCCUCAGGACUCCAAGCAAACCUGAACAAAAGCUCAGUUUAUUUUGGUGGAGUACCAGUGCCUAUACAGCAACAGAUUCUUGAUCACCUGGGUUAUGAACAAGGACAACUGCCUUUCAAAUACCUUGGUCUGAACAAAAGCUCAGUUAAUUUUGGUGGAGUACCAGUGCCCAUACAGCAACAGAUUAUUGAUCACCUGGGUUAUGAACAAGGACAACUGCCUUUCAAAUACCUUGGAGUCCCACUGUCCACCAAGAAAAUCACAAUGCUGCAAUGGCAACCAUUAGUGGACAGAAUCACAGCAAAAAU
rnacentral:lncRNA from 1 species